rnacentral:rRNA from 1 species
AUUGAACGCUGGCGGCAGGCCUAACACAUGCAAGUCGAACGGUAACAUUUCUAGCUUGCUAGAAGAUGACGAGUGGCGGACGGGUGAGUAAUACUUAGGGAUCUGCCUUCUGGAGGGGGAUAACCAUUGGAAACGAUGGCUAAUACCGCAUAAUGUCUACGGACCAAAGGGGGCUUCGGCUCGCACCAGAAGAGGAACCUAAGCGAGAUUAGCUUGUUGGUGAGGUAAAGGCUCACCAAGGCGACGAUCUCUAGCUGUUCUGAGAGGAAGAUCAGCCACACUGGGACUGAGACACGGCCCAG